GUUGAUUUGGCAGAUUAAUGCAUUAAAUUUAGAAUUUAAUUAAGUAAUAUUAUUUACAUUCAAUA
rnacentral:tRNA from 1 species